AUACGGGGGGUGCAAGCGUUAAUCGGAAUUACUGGGCGUAAAGCGCGCGUAGGCGGUUAAAUAAGUUGGAUGUGAAAUCCCCGGGCUCAACCUGGGAACUGCAUUCAAAACUGUUUAACUAGAGUAUGGUAGAGGGAAGUGGAAUUCCAGGUGUAGCGGUGAAAUGCGUAGAUAUCUGGAGGAACAUCAGUGGCGAAGGCGACUUCCUGGAUCAAUACUGACGCUGAGGUGCGAAAGCGUGGGGAGCAAACAGGAUUAGAAACCCCAGUAGUCC
rnacentral:rRNA from 1 species